UGGUGUACGUAUGUGGUGUA
rnacentral:siRNA from 1 species